rnacentral:tRNA from 1 species
GCCAAUGUGGCAUAGUGGUUUUGUGCUGGACUCUGGAGACCUGGGUUCGAUUCCCAGCUUGGCCA